rnacentral:rRNA from 1 species
GAUGAACGCUGGCGGCGUGCUUAACACAUGCAAGUCGAGCGAGAAGUUUUGAAAAGAUUCUUCGGAUGAAAUUUAAAAUGGAAGGCGGCGGACGGGUGAGUAACGCGUAGGCAACCUGCCCCAUACAAAGGGAUAGCAUUUGGAAACGAAUAUUAAUACCUUAUGAAACUUAACUAGUGCAUGCUAGGUAGGUCAAAGAUUUAUCGGUAUGGGAUGGGCCUGCGUCUGAUUAGCUAGUUGGCGAGGUAACGGCUCACCAAGGCGACGAUCAGUAGCCGACCUGAGAGGGUGAACGGCCACAUUGGAACUGAGACACGGUCCAAACUCCUACGGGAGGCAGCAGUGGGGAAUAUUGCACAAUGGGGGAAACCCUGAUGCAGCAACGCCGCGUGAACGAUGAAGGCCUUUGGGUCGUAAAGUUCUGUUCUAGGUGAUGAAAACUGACAGUAACCUAGGAGAAAGCCCCGGCUAACUCCGUGCCAGCAGCCGCGGUAAUACGGAGGGGGCAAGCGUUAUCCGGAAUUAUUGGGCGUAAAGGGUACGUAGGUGGCCUUUUAAGCGUAGGGUAUAAGGCAAUGGCUCAACCAUUGUUCGCCCUAUGAACUGGAAGGCUUGAGUGCAGGAGAGGAAAGCGGAAUUCCUAGUGUAGCGGUGGAAUGCAUAGAUAUUAGGAGGAACAUCAGCGGCGAAGGCGGCUUUCUGGACUGCAACUGACACUGAGGUACGAAAGCGUGGGGAGCAAACAGG